rnacentral:rRNA from 1 species
UACGAAGGGGGCUAGCGUUGUUCGGAUUUACUGGGCGUAAAGCGCACGUAGGCGGGUCGUUAAGUCAGGGGUGAAAUCCCGGAGCUCAACUCCGGAACUGCCUUUGAUACUGGCGACCUUGAGGCUGGAAGAGGUUAGUGGAAUUCCCGGUGUAGAGGUGAAAUUCGUAGAUAUUGGGAAGAACACCAGUGGCGAAGGCGGCUAACUGGUCCAGAUCUGACGCUGAGGUGCGAAAGCGUGGGGAGCGAACAGG